CUCGUGAGUGGCAAGCGUUGUCCGGAAUUACUGGGCGUAAAGAGCACGUAGGCGGUUUGGUAAGCGGAGGGUGAAAUCCCGGGGCUCAACUCCGGAACUGCUCUCCGAACUGCCAGGCUAGAGUACGGGAGAGGGCAGUGGAAUUCCUGGUGUAGCGGUGGAAUGCGUAUAUAUCAGGAGGAACACCCGUGGCGAAGGCUGCUGCCUGGAACGUUACUGACGCUGAGGUGCGAAAGCUAGGGGAG
rnacentral:rRNA from 1 species